rnacentral:snRNA from 1 species
GUUCAAGAUGUUAACAACGAAAACAAUUGGAACGACAUAGAGAAGAUUAGUAUGGCCCCUUACACACAUAAAUCGAGAAAUGAUCCAAAUAUUU